AUCCUGGCUCAGGAUGAACGCUAGCUACAGGCUUAACACAUGCAAGUCGAGGGGCAGCAUUGGGAUAGCUUGCUAUUCAGAUGGCGACCGGCGCACGGGUGAGUAACGCGUAUCCAACCUUCCUGCCAGUAGGGAACAGCCCGGCGAAAGUCGGAUUAAUGCCCUAUGUUCUUCAAUGCGGACAUCUAAGUUGAAGGAAAGAUUCAUCGCUGGCAGAUGGGGAUGCGUCCGAUUAGCUUGCCGGCGGGGUAACGGCCCACCGGGGCGACGAUCGGUAGGGGUUCUGAGAGGAAGGUCCCCCACACUGGUACUGAGACACGGACCAGACUCCUACGGGAGGCAGCAGUGAGGAAUAUUGGUCAAUGGGCGUAAGCCUGAACCAGCCAAGUAGCGUGCAGGAAUGACGGCCCUACGGGUUGUAAACUGCUUUUAUGCGGGGAUAAAGUGCGGCACGUGUGCCGCUUUGCAGGUACCGCAUGAAUAAGGACCGGCUAAUUCCGUGCCAGCCGCUGC
rnacentral:rRNA from 1 species